UACGUAGGGACCGAGCGUUGUCCGGAUUCAUUGGGCGUAAAGAGCUCGUAGGCGGCUGCUCAAGUCGAAUGUGAAAACUCGAGGCUCAACCUCGAGCCUGCAUUCGAUACUGGGUGGCUAGAGUCUGGUAGGGGGAUCUGGAAUUCCUGGUGUAGCGGUGGAAUGCGCAGAUAUCAGGAGGAACACCAGAGGCGAAGGCGGCCGGCUGGACCUGACCUGACGCUGAGGCACGAAGGCGUGGGGAGCGAACGGG
rnacentral:rRNA from 1 species